AUUGAACGCUGGCGGCAGGCCUAACACAUGCAAGUCGAACGGUAACAGGAAGCAGCUUGCUGCUUCGCUGACGAGUGGCGGACGGGUGAGUAAUGUCUGGGAAGCUGCCUGAUGGAGGGGGAUAACUACUGGAAACGGUAGCUAAUACCGCAUAAUGUCGCAAGACCAAAGAGGGGGACCUUCGGGCCUCUUGCCAUCGGAUGUGCCCAGAUGGAAUUAGCUUGUUGGUGGGGUAACGGCUCACCAAGGCGACGAUCCCUAGCUGGUCUGAGAGGAUGACCAGCCACACUGGAACUGAGACACGGUCCAGACUCCUACGGGAGGCAGCAGUGGGGAAUAUUGCACAAUGGGCGCAAGCCUGAUGCAGCCAUGCCGCGUGUAUGAAGAAGGCCUUCGGGUUGUAAAGUACUUUCAGCGGGGAGGAAGGGAGUAAAGUUAAUACCUUUGCUCAUUGACGUUACCCGCAGAAGAAGCACCGGCUAACUCCGUGCCAGCAGCCGCGGUAAUACGGAGGGUGCAAGCGUUAAUCGGAAUUACUGGGCGUAAAGCGCACGCAGGCGGUUUGUUAAGUCAGAUGUGAAAUCCCCGGGCUCAACCUGGGAACUGCAUCUGAUACUGGCAAGCUUGAGUCUCGUAGAGGGGGGUAGAAUUCCAGGUGUAGCGGUGAAAUGCGUAGAGAUCUGGAGGAAUACCGGCGGCGAAGGCGGCCCCCUGGACGAAGACUGACGCUCAGGUGCGAAAGCGUGGGGAGCAAACAGG
rnacentral:rRNA from 1 species